AGGGAUAUAGCUCAGUGGUAGAGCAUUCGCUUGCUGAUCGAGAGGUCUCUGGUCCAAUCCCAGGUGUCCCUU